rnacentral:tRNA from 1 species
GCGCCGUUAGCUCAAUUGGCAGAGCAGUUGACUCUUAAUCAACGGGUUCGGGGUUCAAGUCCCUGACGGCGCACAA